UCCCGUGUGGUAUAGAGGCAUACCAUUUCACAAACUAAAGUUCUGUUAUUUGUGAAGGCUGUAUUGCAACCGUAUUGUCUUUGAAGGAGAAUCUGCAUUUCCUAGAGCAAUCUCCUACAAUAUCAAAUUCUGCCCAGUAGCACCAGGCCCAGUCUUGGGUUGUUAUCUAAACCCCAUCCUCCCACAAGGCAUCCUGCAUCAAAAUAAUUCAUUCAUCAUAUGAUUCAAAUACGGUAUGUUCUCUGCAGCAUUCAAAUCAAGUCAAAUCAUGAUUAUGAUAAAAGCCUCCCAUGUGUAGGAUUCCAGCAGAAGCGUAAGUGUUUCGAUUCUGCUUGGAUCACUGUGCUUCCUGUAAGAUUGUGAUUCCUCAGAGGAGGCGUCAAGCCCUGCAUGCUUGCAUUGAAGAGGCUGAUGUGUUUGUCAUUCACCUGCUUCCAAGCUGUAAAAUCAGGCAGAUGCACAGGGAAUCCGACAGGGCUGUUUUAGUUUUUUUCUUCUUCAAACAAGGGAGAAGCAGGCAAGGGCUGUGCAUGGUGAAAUAUGUGAGUUUGUGUUGUGACGGACACAAUGCUCAAAUUACUGUGUGACGAUGCUCCAGCAAAACAGAUGGUGACUUUCCCCUCCUGAGGAGAGAUGCAGUUGCACAUACCGGCCAAAAGAGGGGCAACAUGAUGUCAGAAUUCCUUCGCUGAUCAACUAAAAGCCUCUCUGAAUGGGGUGGAUUGUAGGUGUCAGGUUAAAUGUUGGACAGACUUUGAACUCCAGAUACAACAAAACAGCCAGUGUGUUCCUGUCAAACACGACUGCCUCAGCCAGGCACUUCCUGGUAGGGAGCCAGGUACUUCCUGGUAGGUAGCCAGGUACUUCCUGGUAGGUAGCCAGGUACUUCCUGGUAAGCAGCCAGGUACUUCCUGGUAGGUAGCCAGGUACUUCCUGAUAGGCAUACAGGAGUGUGUGUCCAGUCCUCCCUCACCAAGCUGUUACUACAACCCAGAGGUCAAAGGGCACGAACUGGGAGCAGGCCCUGACCAGCACCUCGGCAAACACAGGAAGCCAUGCCAAGCUCUCGGCCUGCCAAGACCAACAUGCUGACGGCAGGUGGUGGACACAGAGAGGGCAGCGCUGGUGUGGUCAGCUGGAGUGGUGGCCAAACUCGGUCCUGGGAGGGAAGACUUGCUGUAAUGAUGGCCAAACAGCCUCAGGCUGGGGUGUCUAAGUGACUGUGUGUGUGUGUGAGUGUGUGAGCAAGAGUGUUUGAGUGUACAUUAGUUUGUGUAUGUGUGUGCGUAUGUGUACCAACAGCGUCAGAGUGGUUUUACACAAGCCUCUCUUGGUUUUACAGCUGGUUUCACCUGUAGGACUUUGGUUCUCAGACACAGCCUCUUAAUAAUCUCCUUUUUGUUCCACCAUCAUACACAUGAUGUUACUGAACGUCUUGUGACUCUGCGGUUGUCAUCACCCGUGUCGCCGUCGUCCCCCCCGGUGUGGAUGGUUCCCUCUGGUACCAGUCCAACGGCCCGAGGUACGAAGGCAGGAGAGAAGGCAGUGGCAGCCCCCUGGCCGUAACCAAACACGACACAGGGCUGAAAGGGAAGUGAUUCAUCAAAGGGCCUUGGCCUAGAGAGAGAUCCUUAAACUUUGGAGAGUGGAGUUAUCUCUCACAUUCAGUGGUCAUACUUUCUAAGGACAUGUUUAUCAUGUGUAAUGACACUGUGACACUGACAUUGAAUACGUGGUUUAAUAAAGGGUGGACAUUGAAUAUGACUAUAUGUGACUUCAUGUGGUAUCUGUUGGGUGUCAUGCUGAUCAUAGGAUUAGCUCAAGUUGGGGUUGCAGUAAGAAGUUCACGUGUUUUUAUACAUGUGUGAGUGUGAGUGUACAUCUUAAGGCGUUGCAAUUACCCAAGUGUCUCCCUGUCUUCUUUCUCUCUCUAUACAUCUCUAUUGUC